CUGCAUUGUGUACACGGUAUAAAAAUAAUCCUGCAUGAUUUAUACCGCGGGAACAAUGGAACACAGCAGGAAUCAUAAAGUGGCAUCGGGUAAUGUUGUAUAGUGAGUGUGUGGCUUGCAGUCACAUUGAGUACCGUCGCGUUGCUCUGACGUUGUGCUGAAACCACUUAAUUUCUGCAUUGAGCACAGGACACAAAUAAAUUUAAACGUGUAAUUUUCUGGCAUCCAAUUCGCUUCGUCCUUUGCGUCCCUCGCGCUGUUGUGGCGUUGAGCUACAUCAUCUCAGCACUGGGUUGCUUCCACGUGGCAUCAUCAUGAUGCUACAUGGCGCAAGUCAAAGUGGGCCCAGUGUGAAAGGGGCUUUAGAUGUGGUGUUUUGCAUGUCUGGGCCACCGUACAAAUGUUGUGCGCAGCAGUGGGAUUCAGUGUGUUUUCUGUGUUGUCUAUGUGUUGUCUUAGAUGUGUUGUUUUGCACAUCCAGGCCACUGUACUAAUGUCACAUGGAGCAGUGGGAUUCAGUGUGGUUUCUGUGUUGUCUUAGAUGUGGUGUUUUGCACAUCCAGGCCACUGUACUAAUGUCACAUGGAGCAGUGGGAUUCAGUGUGUUUUCUGUGUUGUCUUAGAUGUGGUGUUUUGCACAUCCGGGCCACCGUACUAAUGUCGCGUGCAGCAGUGGGAUUCCUAGUGGGAUUCAGUGUGUUUUCUGUGUUGUCAAAGUGUUGUCUUAGAUGUGGUGUUUUGCACACCUGGGCCACUGUACAAAUGUCGCGCAGCAGUGGGAUUACGUGUGUUUUCUGUGUUGUCAAAGUGUUGUUUUAGAUGUGGCGUUUUGCACAUUUGGCCCACCGUACUAAUACUAAUGUCACAUGCAGCAGUGGGAUUCAGUGUGCUUUCUGUGUUGUCAAAGUGUUGUCUUAGAUGUGGUGUUUUGCACACCUGGGCCACUGUACAAAUGUCGCGCAGCAGUGGGAUUACGUGUGUUUUCUGUGUUGUCAAAGUGUUGUUUUAGAUGUGGCGUUUUGCACAUUUGGCCCACCGUACUAAUACUAAUGUCACAUGCAGCAGUGGGAUUCAGUGUGCUUUCUGUGUUGUCAAAGUCUUGUCUUAGAUGUGUUGUUUUGCACGUGUGGGCCACCGUACUUAUACUAAAGUCAUGUGCAGCAGUGGGAUUCAGUGUGUUUUCUGUGUUGUCAAAGUGUUGUUUUAGAUGUGGCAUUUUGCAUGUCUGGGCCACCGUACUAAUACCAAUGUUGCGUGCAGCAGUGAGAUUCAGUGUGUUUUCUGUGUUGUCUAAAUGCUGUCUUAGAUGUGGUGCUUUGCACGUCUGGGCCACUGUCCCGAUGUCAUGUGCAGCAGUGG